rnacentral:lncRNA from 10 species
CUGGUGUUCCUGUCAGUGGGCCCUUAGGGAAGAAACCAAAUUCAGCAGCCUACAAGACUUGGAAGAAGCCACAAUCAUGCCACUGUAUUUCAGCCUGAGCAACAGAGCAAGACCCCAUCUCAAGGAAAAAAAAAUUCCAACCACAGAAGGAUGGUGCUUGCAGCAGUGUGGCCACAGUAGAAACAGGAGACAGACCUGUUGGACUGGAAUGAAGGAAGAUAGGGAAGAAUUUGGGAGAAACAGUUUUGGUAGGAAGAGCAGGAGCUCAGUUUUGGGUAGGUAGAGUUUUCUAAUAACCAGUAGACAAGUGAGAUGUGGAGCUGGAAGUCGGUUCCAUCAGUCUGGAGUUCAGGAUAAAGAUCAGGACUAGAGAUGCAAAUCUGGGAGGUAUCAGCAUGUUGCUAAUAUCUAAAGCCACAGGCCUGGAUGAGAUAACCAAGGGAGUAAAGGAGUAAGCAGAGAUGGGAAAGCAAAGUUUAAGCCUUGAACACCUAGGCCACACCAGUGCUAACAGGUUUCAGGGAAGAGGAGGAACAGAACUAUGGGUAUUUUGGCCAGGUGCGGUGGCUCAUGCCUGUAAUCCCAGCACUUUGGGAAGGCCAAGGUGGGUGGAUCACCUGAGUUCAGGAGUUUGAGACCAGUCUAGCCAACAUGGUGAAACCUCAUCUCUAAUA